GUCGAGAAUCAUUCACAAUGGGGGAAACCCUGAUGGUGCAACGCCGCGUGGAGGAUGAAGGCCCUAGGGUCGUAAACUCCUGUCAUAGCAGAGUAAGACAUAGAUGUUAAUAGCAUUUAUGUUUGAUAGUAUGCUAAGAGGAAGGGACGGCUAACUUCGUGCCAGCAGCCGCGGUAAUACGAAGGUCCCGAGCGUUAUUCGGAAUCACUGGGCGUAAAGGGAGCGUAGGCGGCGCGGUAAGUCAGAUGUGAAAUCUGGAGGCUCAACCUCCAAACUGCAUUCGAUACUGCCGUGCUAGAGUAAUGGAGAGGUAACUGGAAUUCUCAGUGUAGCAGUGAAAUGCGUAGAUAUUGAGAGGAAGACCAAUGGCGAAAGCAGGUUACUGGACAUUUACUGACGCUGAGGCUCGAAGGCUAGGGGAGCAAAAGGGAUUAGAAACCCUAGUAGUCC
rnacentral:rRNA from 1 species